GAUGAAGAACGCAGCGAAAUGCGAUAAGUAAUGUGAAUUGCAGAAUUCAGUGAAUCAUCGAAUCUUUGAACGCACCUUGCGCUCCUUGGUAUUCCGAGGAGCAUGCCUGUUUGAGUGUCAUGAAAUUCUCAACCUUUUCAGCUUUCUUUGUUGAUCAGGCUUGGAUGUGGGAGUAUGCGGGCUUCUCAGAAGUCGGCUCUCCUGAAAUGCAUUAGCGGGACCUUUGUUGCCUGGCUUUGGUGUGAUAAUUAUCUACGCCAUUGUGGUCAAGCAGCUUAAAAUGAGGUUUCAGCUUCUAACCGUCUCCCCUGAGACAACUUUUUGACAAUUUGACCUCAAAUCAGGUAGGACUACCCGCUGAACUUAAGCAUAUCAAUAGCGGAGGA
rnacentral:misc_RNA from 1 species